rnacentral:rRNA from 1 species
GAUGAACGCUGGCGGCGUGCUUAACACAUGCAAGUCGAACGGACUUUACAAGAAGCCUAGCGAUUGUAAAGUUAGUGGCGGACGGGUGAGUAACGCGUGAGUAACCUGCCUUUCAGAGGGGGAUAACAGUUGGAAACGACUGCUAAUACCGCAUAACGUAUUUGAAUCGCAUGAUUCGGAUACCAAAGCUGAGGCGCUGAAAGAUGGACUCGCGUCUGAUUAGAUAGUUGGUGGGGUAACGGCCUACCAAGUCGACGAUCAGUAGCCGGACUGAGAGGUUGAUCGGCCACAUUGGGACUGAGACACGGCCCAGACUCCUACGGGAGGCAGCAGUGGGGAAUAUUGCACAAUGGGCGAAAGCCUGAUGCAGCAACGCCGCGUGAAGGAAGAAGGCUUUCGGGUUGUAAACUUCUUUUAAGAGGGAAGAGUAGAAGACGGUACCUCUUGAAUAAGCCACGGCUAACUACGUG